ACAACUCUGCACACAAAGGAGAGUUCAUAGUGGUCAAACCCUGGGUCCAGUAAAUUCUGACACGGGCCCUUCACGUCCGGCACCAGUAGUUUCUCAUCUCGUGCAUGGGGGAACAGCGAUCUGCCUCCCGAAUGGGUUGAGAAGGGUGGUCAGUGAGUGUAUAUGAAGCACUCUCAAGUUAUGUAAAUGUUCAGUGUUGUGGUCUCACCUGAAAACGGAAUUGCAGUUGGAUAUAAACACCAUCACGGGUUGAUGGUCCAUCUCCCUUUGGCAAUGGACGCAUGACGAGGAGGUGCCCCAAUGAGAUGGUCAAAGGGGUCCUUUGUGAUUCUGUAGCAGUCUGAUCUCCGGCAUAACACAGGCCAAAGAACUUUCUAGAAUCAUCCCUAGAAGAGAUCCUUUAGAAAAACAUCCACCUUGAUCUAAAAAUGGUUCUGGGGCAGCUGAGGGAGCCUCUCUAUUCUUGGUUCAGGAGUGGCUGGGAGAAGCAUUCAUGUAACUUAGUUGGGUGUGUCCCUGCCUGUGGAUGUCUAUGCGCUCUGUAGCGGCUGCAUACAAACUUCUCCCUCUAAAAACUCUCAAGUCCCUGGUGUCACAGAUCACAAAGACCAACCCUAUGCCUAGGGAGGCGAGUGGAGAGAACCCUGAAGGACACAUGAAACCAGAGCCUCUGCUGGUGUGAUUUGGCACAUCCUCACAUGAGUCAAUAGAGUUACACUGAUUUACAUUAGCUGAAGAGCUGGCUCUGUGAUCUUCAGGGAAAAAAUUACUGUGAUAAACUUUGUGCCAGUGCGGAUCUGUGGUGGUUCUAUUGCCACUGCUCGUUGAAGGAAAAUUAUGUUCAAAUGAAAGCUGAUAUUUUUCUUCAGAGCUCUCUCACAUUAGAGGACUUCCAGUCCUCUCAGACUUAUGGUAACUCUUGAUCUUUCCCACCUACAGACAGCUGAUUUGAAUGGUUUCUUACCCUAAGAGUCAAAUGUCACCAACAGCUAGAAUCAAUUGGCUGGGCCACAUAAACUCACUCACAGUGGUAGUUUUUCCACAGCCACCUUGCUCUUGUUUAUCCCUCACUAUUCUUAGAAUGAUCUCAACAGAGAAAUUAAUAGAUUCAUAUACUGAGCCAUGAUCUACACUUAACAUUUAGCUCAACCUAGCUAUAGCCAGGGUGGAUAAAAAAUCAAUGAUUUUUAAAAAGAAAUUUUAAAAAUUGGAUUUUUUUAAUUUAAAUUAGAUUUUUGAGGAAAAAAGCUAUCAAAAGAUAGUUUUGAUUAAGAUAGAUCAAAGAUAGUUCAGCAUGGAAUUUGGAUGAUAAAUUCUAAUCCUAUAGUAUAAGAUAAUAUAUUCAUGUAAUGUUUAAGAAAAGUUUGGUAAAUGAGUUCUAAUAGUUCAUGGAUUAGGGACCCAAUUUUAUGGGGUUCCACAGGCUUCUGUGUAGAUUAUUUAGGUUAAUCUUUCUAUCUACCCAAUGGGACUCAGUGCUCAAUCUAGAAAAUAUCAUCAGAGAUGCUUAGUUCUGCAGUUCUAAAACUGUUGAUUUGUGUCUCCAGAGGUAACAUGCUUGUUAACAGCAAAAAUGGUUUAAAAUAAAUAAAUAA